AGCAGUCGCCGCGGGAAUACGUAGGUCCCGAGCGUUGUCCGGAUUUAUUGGGCGUAAAGCGAGCGCAGGCGGUUAGAUAAGUCUGAAGUUAAAGGCUGAGGCUUAACCAUAGUACGCUUUGGAAACUGUUUAACUUGAGUGCAAGAGGGGAGAGUGGAAUUCCAUGUGUAGCGGUGAAAUGCGUAGAUAUAUGGAGGAACACCGGUGGCGAAAGCGGCUCUCUGGCUUGUAACUGACGCUGAGGCUCGAAAGCGUGGGGAGCAAACAGGAUUAGAUACCCGUGUAGUCCCUGUCUCUUAUACA
rnacentral:rRNA from 1 species